UACGUAGGGUCCGAGCGUUGUCCGGAAUUAUUGGGCGUAAAGGGCUCGUAGGCGGUUCGUCACGUCGGGAGUGAAAACUCGGGGCUUAACCCCGAGCCUGCUUCCGAUACGGGCAGACUAGAGGUAGGCAGGGGAGAGCGGAACUCCUGGUGUAGCGGUGGAAUGCGCAGAUAUCAGGAAGAACACCGGUGGCGAAGGCGGCUCUCUGGGCCUUACCUGACGCUGAGAAGCGAAAGCAUGGGGAGCGAACAGG
rnacentral:rRNA from 1 species